UCAGGUUAGGUUGCUAAAGCUUAGAGUGGCUAGCGCCUUAUCCAAAUUUACAUAUGUGGAAAAUGAUGAAGCUGAAAUUUAAACUGUUCUGACUCCAGAACCUGCCUGCCUGCCUCUAUGCUACCAUGGCAACCAACAAAUGUUUGUGGAAUAAUAAAUGUCAUUGUACACAUUACCUUGCUUUAUGUGCUACUGUCAAAAUAAACACUUCAAAGCCUUCUCACUCUUUGUUAUCUGUGAAGCCUAAACACUCCUGGUCAGAGACAAAUGCAAUUAUUGAAUGGGCACCCCUGAUGAAAGGCCAUUUAGAGCCUCCCAAAGGACAGAAGAGAGAAAACCUGAAGCUUGGAGCUCUGGACAGACAAUGCAGUUGUCCCACUAGCAGCUCCUUUCCAAGAGGACAGAUUCUGAAUGAAGCCACUACACUCCAGCAUGGGUGACAGAGCACAACUCCACCUCAAAAAGAGAAAAAGAGAGCGAAGCAUUAUGGUAACCACACGAUGCUCAGGAGGAACUAGUGCGUCCUGGGCCCCUACUUCCUUAUAUCUAAUGAGACUUGGCUGUCUUCUUCGAGUGUAGCCCCAGCCUGGGGUACAGCACCAGGAAAGAAAGCCUAGCCAGAGAAGCUUUCACAGUCUCAUUGUUACUACUCUGAAAAACAAUAUGGAUGACACGGUACCACCAGUUUCCCUGGCUCCAGCAAAGUUGGUGCUUGAAGCCACAUCCACUAUAAUUGUCACUGAAAGCUACUUGGAGACAGAGCCUGCUCUUGGCUGAGACAUGCAGAGAAGGAACAGGGCAGAGAAGAACUUUGCUUGUAGGGAAAUAAAAAGGUAGCAUCAGGACCCUGAGAGCCAGCUGGCUUUUAAACAAUUAAGCUCACUUGGGAAAACAAAAGUUAUAUCUUACUAUACUUUCUACUAUGACAGUUCUAACUGGGGUUUUCUGGCUUUCUGUUUGGCACUGGGUUUGGCCAUUUAGGAGGUUGAUGAUCAAGAGGAUUCUAGAAUUAUGGUGGGGGAAAUGAACAAUCUAAUCUACCAUACUGGAUUAUAAAUUCAAAUGUACAGAGACUAGGUGUGUUUUAUUCACCAGUGUAUACUCACCAGAGUAGGGAAUGAAUGGACACAUGCAUACUAACUUUCUAGAAAUGCCUUAGAAUCUCAGGUUGGAAAGUGACCUGAAAAUAUCUACCUCAGCCUCCAUAAAAUUAGGGACCCCUUUUACAACAUUCUUGGCAAGAGUGCAUCCCAUGUCAACCAGCUCACUAAUCCUUUACCUCACUCUAGGAAACAUAUUUCAUAUUCAGAUGGCUAUGAUUUUUUAUUCACCCUUACCCUGAACAAAAAUCUUUCCUUCUUCCUGAAAAUUGGAGACCCUGGUCCUCAUUCUACUCUCUGGGAAGCCAAAAGUAAGUCAAGGCCAAAAUAUCAGACCAUUUUAACAAGCCAUCCCUUUGCAUAUCAAUUGUCUUGACUCUACUCCAAGUUUAAUAUACCCUGUUCCUUUAACAAUGUUUGACAUUAUUCCAAGUUCCCUGGCCAUAGCAUUUCCAAUAUUCCUUAGAUCCAACAUGUGACCUAAAGAAUAUUAGUAUCCAAGUGUUACCCAAUCAGUUUAGAAUGGAGCAGGACUAUCCAAUCCCUGGUCUGAAGAGUCUUGACAUAAUUCCAGCCCAAAAUGAGAUAAGCAUUUAGUCAGCAGAAAAGACUAUUUAAAAAUUACCUAUGAAUAAGCCCCCUAAUGCUGAAACAUUUGUUCACUCAUUCAGCAAGCAUUUACUGAGGACCUAAUACAUGCCAUGCGCUGUACCAGAUGGUGAAUAUACAGAGAUCAUUCCCACCACUGUAAAACUUGAUUAUAGUAUACAAUGGAAGCUACUGAAGGCUUUCAAAAAAAAAAAAAGGAAAAAUAAAUAAAAAUUAUUUUAUCAUUACUCAAUUCCUUUCCUAUCAAAUGAUCAAUAUGCCUAGGAUCUUCUUGGUACCCAUCUUAUUUUCAUGACCUUUUAACACUCUGGCCCAAGAACCCUCAUUUAGUGUGGGGUAGUGAGUGGAAAGGGCAUUUGCCUGGAUAUCAGAACUUGAUUCUAGUCUUGGCUUUGCCAGUAAUUUGC
rnacentral:lncRNA from 1 species